rnacentral:sRNA from 1 species
GACUGCGUUAAGUGGGAGAGACUGUG